CUAAUAAUAACCGAACGGCUGAAAGCCUGGGAAGCUUGUAUGGUGGGCAAGUUGACGGGGGCCAGCAGCAUGGCACUGCUGACCUGCAGCGGGUCACAAUGGUAGUCAGCAGUCUCCAUGGUAACGUCUCUGAGCCAUGAGGUCGGAACUGUGGGAUUAAUGACAUCCCACGACUGGAGCAAUCAUAGUGCUGAGAACAGCUUUGACUACUACGGUGGUUCCGGGAAGAAACUUUUCCAGGACCUAUGUAUGGGCACGGCUGUUUCCCCUGAUCCGUAUCCUUGCAGCACCCAACAGGGAAAGGAAAUUCCUAAGCAAGGAACACUGCUCAGAAAGUAC
ensembl:lncRNA